rfam:Tupaia chinensis contig6509, whole genome shotgun sequence.
GAACUAAAAUUGGACCAAUACUAAAAUUGGAACAAUACAAAGAAGAUUAGCAUGGCCCCUGCACAAGGAUAACACGCAAAUUUGUGAAACAUUCCAUAUUUUU